rnacentral:rRNA from 1 species
UACAGAGGGUGCGAGCGUUAAUCGGAGUUACUGGGCGUAAAGGGCGCGUAGGUGGUUGUGUAAGUGAGAUGUGAAAUCCCUGGGCUUAACCUAGGAACUGCAUCUUAUACUGUACGACUAGAGUACUGUAGAGGGUAGUGGAAUUUCCGGUGUAGCGGUGAAAUGCGUAGAGAUCGGAAGGAACACCAGUGGCGAAGGCGGCUACCUGGACAGAUACUGACACUGAGGCGCGAAAGCGUGGGGAGCAAACAGG